UCAUUAUGCCUUUGCAAUGUUACUUGGUUCAACUCCAUUUGUGACCUUUUCUCGUAUGUGGGACUCUCUAUCUUCUUGGGUAGAUUCUAGAUCGUCUUUCGUUUUGUUAGUGAGUAGUUUUCUUAUUAAUAAGUCAAGUCAAGAGUAAUAAGAGAACUGUAGGAGCUUGCCAGGACGGCUUGGUAAGCAAGCUACCUGUUAUGUAGGCGCCAACUCCCAGAGAUGGGAAGAGCGG